AGGAAUUCGCUUUUUUGUAUUUGUCUAGUAGGCUCCUAGUAAAAAAUAGGAGCCCCC
ensembl:snRNA U7 U7 small nuclear RNA